ensembl:lncRNA
AAAAAAAAAAAAAAAAAAAAAAAAAAAACUUUCACAAAAAGCACUGUCCUUUGUCCUCUCCCUGUGGUCUUGGUUGAUAAUGCAGGUUGAUUUGUGCUGAUUUGUUACUGUAUAAAAGGGUUUUAGUGAACAGAAAAGGUUUGGCUUGCAGUAUUGAUUUGGAGAGAAGGGGGCCUUGGGGUAAAAAAGGUUGAGAACCACUGCUUUAGGUAAAGGCAGGGGUAUUAAGAAUUGAACAUUAUUUUUUUAUUAUUAUAAUUUAUUUAUUUUUAUGUAUUUAAAGAUACAUCCCAACAAGCUUUAUUAUAUAUUUAUGUUAAGACACAUUAAGCGUUUUAGAAUGUCCCAAAACUGUGCCUUGAACUAUAAGCACUGACUGUAUUUCUUUAUACUUGAGUCCAAGUUCAAAAUAAAACUAUAAACCGCUCCGUUGUGAACAUACGGUGCUGUAUGAACCACUGCAAGCUGUAAGUAAACAGGAAGAGUUUGUCCGAACCAGUGGCGGAGACAGAAUGUUUUCAUAGGGGUGGCCAGGGAGGGGACAGCAACCAGUCUGGGGUGGCACAGAAAUCUACAUUAUUUCAAUAUAAAAAUGUAUUUGACUGUAAUGUACAGGACUGUUUUAGUGCCUAAAACACAAAGCUCGCUGAACCACGCCCCCCUCGCCACAUACCCCCACCACCCGACUCAGGCCGGGGGGCCCUCCCCCCACUCCUGGAGACAAAGUCAGCUACAGCCAUCUGCAUCCCCGGCCUAUGGACCACCUUGAAUUUAAAGGGCUGUAAUGCCAGAUACCAAUGGGAGAUCCAUGCAUAGGUAUCCUUCAUACGGUGGAGCCACUGCAGGGAUGCGUGGUCCGAAUAGAGAGGGAAUUCCUGUCCCAGGAGAUAACAGAAGAUAGUUAGCAAAGCCCAUCUGCUCUGACAAAUUGGCAGAGCAUAAAUGUCUAGAAGGUAGAAAAGGAUCCUGGCACAAUGGCUCUUCCAUCACACCACAAACCUGCACGUAUUCUAGCAGGUCUUGAUACAACAAAAACUUUCCAAGCUUCCGUCAUAGAUCUAUAAAAGGGAGUCAAAUCUAUUAAAGUUGUUUCAUUCAAGUUCAGUAAAAAAAGAUGUUUGUCAAGUCCCAUAUUGCCUGCUUUCCUCAAAAGUGCAACCGCAGUGUUAAGCCAUGCAAUAUCACUGUUAUACAGCAGUCUCUGAGCAGCCAUAAGUCUAGAUUUUAUAUCUACAAGACCUUGCCCCCCUUCUUUUACAGGCAAAAAAAGCACAGCUGAUCAAACCCAGUGCUGCCCUGACCAAAAAAAUUCACCAGCAUCCUUUGAAUGUCUUGAAGUAGUCCAGCGGGAGGCUGUAAUACAGUAAAAUUAUGCCACAGUGCAGAAGCGACCAAGUUGUUGACAACUAAAACUCUCCCCCUGUAGGACAACUGGGGUAGCAACCAGUUCCAUCUAGAGUCUAGACAAUCAGGUGCACACUCUCUCCAAAAUUCCCUCCCAGUUUUUCCUUUUGAAACUCAGCAGAUCACAAAAACACACCAGGUAUUUUAAUCCCUGUACUAUUCUAUUUUAAAUUAACUGGUAGGUGUGGAAGAUUUUCCAAAUUCAUUUGACCUGACCAAAAAGCCUCAGUCUUAUCCCCAUUUACUUUUGCUUAUGAUGCCCCUUCAUACAUAUUAAUGACUCUAGACAAAGCUUUUAUAUCAUUAUGUUAUUAACAAAAACAAUCUGCAUAAGCAGUAAUUUUAGUUCUUAAAAAUUGAGGCAU